rnacentral:rRNA from 1 species
UGGCAUAGGCUACGCUACCAUGCAGUCGAACGGUAACACGAAGAAGCUUGCUUCUUUGCUGACGAGUGGCGGACGGGUGAGUAAUGUCUGGGAAACUGCCUGAUGGAGGGGGAUAACUACUGGAAACGGUAGCUAAUACCGCAUAACGUCGCAAGACCAAAGAGGGGGACCUUCGGGCCUCUUGCCAUCGGAUGUGCCCAUAUGGGAUUAGCUUGUGGGUGGGGUAACGGCUCACCUAGGCGACGAUCCCUAGCUGGUCUGAGAGGAUGACCAGCCACACUGGAACUGAGACACGGUCCAGACUCCUACGGGAGGCAGCAGUGGGGAAUAUUGCACAAUGGGCGCAAGCCUGAUGCACCCAUGCCGCGUGUAUGAAGAAGGCCUUCGGGUUGUAAAGUACUUUCAGCGGGGAGGAAGGGAGUAAAGUUAAUACCUUUGCUCAUUGACGUUACCCGCAAAAGAAGCACCGGCUAACUCCGUGCCAGCAGCCGCGGUAAUACGGAGGGUGCAAGCGUUAAUCGGAAUUACUGGGCGUAAAGCGCACGCAGGCGGUUUGUUAAGUCAGAUGUGAAAUCCCCGGGCUCAACCUGGGAACUGCAUCUGAUACUGGCGAGCUAGAGUCUUGUAGAGGGGGGUAGAAUUCCGUGUGUAGCGGUGAAAUGCGUAGAGAUCUGGAGGAAUACCGGUGGCGAACGCGGCC